UACGGAGGGUGCAAGCGUUAUCCGGAAUCACUGGGUUUAAAGGGGGCGUAGGCGGCUUGAUAAGUCAGGGGUGAAAGCCCGCAGCUUAACUGCGGAACUGGCUUUGAUACUGUCGAGCUUGAAAGAGGUUGAGGUCAGCGGAACGUGACAUGUAGCGGUGAAAUGCAUAGAUAUGUCACAGAACACCGAUUGCGAAGGCAGCUGGCUGGACCUACUUUGACGCUGAGGCACGAAAGCGUGGGGAACGAACAGG
rnacentral:rRNA from 1 species